rnacentral:rRNA from 1 species
UACGUAGGGGCCUAGCGUUGUCCGGAAUUAUUGGGCGUAAAGGGUGCGUAGGCGGCGCGGUAAGUCGGGUGUGAAAUCUCGGAGCUUAACUCCGAAACUGCAUUCGAUACUGCCGUGCUUGAGGACUGGAGAGGAGACUGGAAUUUACGGUGUAGCGGUGAAAUGCGUAGAUAUCGUAAGGAAGACCAGUGGCGAAGGCGGGUCUCUGGACAGUUCCUGACGCUGAGGCACGAAGGCCAGGGGAGCAAACGGG